rnacentral:rRNA from 1 species
UGGGGAAUCUUGCACAAUGGGGGCAACCCUGAUGCAGCGACGCCGCGUGAGCGAUGAAGCCCUUCGGGGCGUAAAGCUCUUUCGACCGGAACGAUAAUGACGGUACCGGGAGAAGAAGCUGCGGCUAACUACGUGCCAGCAGCCGCGGUAAUACGUAGGCAGCAAGCGUUGUUCGGAGUUACUGGGCGUAAAGAGUGCGUAGGCGGUUUUCUAAGUUCGGUGUGAAAUCUCCCGGCUUAACUGGGAGGGUGCGCCGAAGACUGGGAAGCUGGAGUGUGGGAAAGGCGGGCGGAAUUCCUGGUGUGGCGGUGAAAUGCGUAGAUAUCAGGAGGAACACCGGCGGUGUAGACGGCUUGCUAGACCAUAACUGACGCUGAGGCACGAAAGCGUGGGUAGCAAACA